AUUGAACGCUGGCGGCAGGCUUAACACAUGCAAGUCGAGCGGGGGAAGGUAGCUUGCUACCGGACCUAGCGGCGGACGGGUGAGUAAUGCUUAGGAAUCUGCCUAUUAGUGGGGGACAACAUCUCGAAAGGGAUGCUAAUACCGCAUACGUCCUACGGGAGAAAGCAGGGGAUCUUCGGACCUUGCGCUAAUAGAUGAGCCUAAGUCGGAUUAGCUAGUUGGUGGGGUAAAGGCCUACCAAGGCGACGAUCUGUAGCGGGUCUGAGAGGAUGAUCCGCCACACUGGGCAUGAGACACGGCCCAGACUCCUACGGGAGGCAGCAGUGGGGAAUAUUGGACAAUGGGGGGAACCCUGAUCCAGCCAUGCCGCGUGUGUGAAGAAGGCCUUAUGGUUGUAAAGCACUUUAAGCGAGGAGGAGGCUACUCUAGUUAAUACCUAGGGAUAGUGGACGUUACUCGCAGAAUAAGCACCGGCUAACUCUGUGCCAGCAGCCGCCGUAA
rnacentral:rRNA from 1 species